GCUAGGUACCUGGUUUUCUCUCCGCGGCUCGCUGCGCACGGUACCCCUGUCCCUCCUUGGCCUUCCACUCAGGGCAAUCCCCAGCCACUCUCAGGGUGUUCUUGAGCCGUACUGAAAGUUUGGGAAGACUAAAGGAAAUGAGAGGUCCCUCAGUCUGAACAGGACAGCGGUGGGUGGGUGGCCUGGGAUCCUCAAAGUAUGAAAACCUAUCGGCCGGCAGGAACUGCUUCAGUCAUUUCAGGGGCAGAAAUGUUUGAUCAGCACUUCUGCGGGAGGAGGUUCCUGAAUCCUGUGUUCCUUAAGGGCUUCCUUGCUGCAGGCGGGGGAUGUUUCAAUGGGCUUUCCCUUGAGCCCGUUGGAAAUUACUUCUCAAGCAAUUUUCCGAUGAUCAACUCCUUUUUAUAGGCAGUUUGUCGUUAAGGGGAGGGGACUGGGUUACCCAGGAAAUAAGUGAGUAUAGGGAUUCUAAGGCCCCUUUUCAUUUUGUCUUGUCUCUGUCCCUUUCAAUCACAGCUGGUGGCAUUUUUGCCAAUGUAAGUUUCUUAAUUUUGUGGGUCUUCCUAUGAAUCUUAAUGGGAUUCGCUCCAUCGGACAAGCCACACUCACAAAUGUCUUUGAGCUAGCCCUUCUCUACAUUGGGCAGCUGUAGUUUGGGGCUUACAGUUUUCUAAGAAGUCUGAAGUGGGUCUCACUGGGCUAAAAUCAAGGUUUCGACGGUGCUGCAUUCCUUCUGGAGGUUCCAGAGGAGAAUCUUUUCUUGCCUUUUCCAACUUCCAGAGGCUGCCUGCAUCCUUGACUCGCAGCCCCUUCUUCCAACUUCAAAGUAGCAACCUCAGCCAGAGUCCGUCCAUUGCUGCCCUCUGUAUGGUUCUCUCUCCUCCGCAGCCCUCUUCCACUUUUAAGGACCCUCAUGGUUAACACUGGGCUCACCCAGCUAAUUGAGGAGAAUCUUUAAGGCCAGCUGAUUAGCAACCUUAAUUCCAUUUGCAAUUUUAUUCCCUUUUGUCAUGUAACCUAACAUAUUCAGAGGUUCCGGGGAUUAGGACAUGGAUAUCUUUGGGGGGGUGGUAUUCAGCUGACCACAGCGGGAUUAGAAAACCAGACGGAAGUGAAUGGAUACCAGGAAUCUAGGAUCCAGCUGGCUGUGAGGCUGGCAGAGGUAUCCCAGACCUGUCAACUCUCAGGAAAGCUGCAUCCAGAGUGCUUUUUGGAUCACUGGGGGAUACCUGGCCUCACUCUAGACUCACUGCCUUGGUCGUUUCAGGAUUGAAUCCGUGAUCAGGAAAUGUUCCCAGUGUUGCUGAUGUACUCCUUCCACACUUGAGAGUCCUGAAUCCCGUCUCCUGAGGAGAGGAAUUGGGCUCAAGUGGCUAGAGAGAAGUUUCUUGUCAGAGAAAUCUCGUUACCUUGAGGAGAGGAAGCAUAACUAGACUGGGAUGGAUAGGAUACUUAGGGAAGAGGAAGUGUUUCAUAUCCCUGGACCAGGAGGCCAGAAUGAGGCAAACUUGCCCCUCUGUCUGGCCUUCUGUGUUGAGGAGGCCUGAGGUGGCAGAAGGAAGAUGGGAGAAGGGCCCCCAAGAAAGCUCUGGUCAGCCUCAGGCUGUCCCCACCCCACCCCGCUGAUAUAGCAUAUGUGGAGAUAAGGGAGCACGCAGGAGCAAGUGUCACCCCUCCCCUCCCAACAGCAGCCAAAAGGGUCAUGGCCCUGGCUGCUCUAACUUGGCCCUUGUGUGUCCUGAAGCACAGACACACUGCUUAGAAAGAUCAUCCUGGUCAUGGUGGCUCAUGCCUGUAAUCGCAGCACUUUGGGAGGCCGAGGUGGGCAGAUCAUGAGGUCAGGAGUUCGAGACCAGCCUGACCAACAUGGUGAAGCCCCGCGUCUAUUAAAAAUACAAAAAUUAGCUGGGCGUGGUGGCACGCACCUGUAAUCCCAGCUACUCAGGGAACUGGAGCAGGAGAAUCGCUUGAACCCGGAGGCAGAGGUUGCAGUGAGCUGAGAUCACACCACUGCAUUCCAGCCUGGGCGACAAAGCAAGACUCCAUCUCAAAAAAAAAAAAAAAAAAAGAGAUUCUCCUUUGUCUUGCCUCUCAGCUGUCAUAAGCAAUCAGUGUCCUGUCCCCUUAAUAAUAUGGUCGUUCUCAAAGUAGGAUCCCCAGGCUAGCAGCAGCAUCAUCCCCCUUAAAAGUUGUUAGAAAACCAAAUUCUGGGGUCCCACUCCACACCUAUAAAACAAAUUCUGGGGUCAGGGCUUAGCAGCCUCUGUUUUGACAGUCCUUCUAGUUGACAUGCUAUAAAGUUUGAGAAUCACUGACUCAGAGGAAAUAGCUUUGUGGCGAAAAUGAGCCAAGGCUGGGCGCGGUGGCUCACGCCUGUAAUUCCAGCACUUUGGGAGGCUGAGGCAGGUGCAUCACCUGAGGUCAGGAGUUUGAGACCAGCCUGGCCAACAUGGUGAAACCCCGUCUCGACUAAAAAUACAAAAAAUAACGGUGUGGUGGCACACACCUGUAAUCCCAGCUACUCAGGAGGCUGAGGCGGAACAAUCACUUGAACCCGGGACGCAGAGGUUGCAGUGAGCUGAGAGCUCACUGGGAGACAAAGUGAGACUCUGUCUCAAAAAAACAAAAAAGGAAAGAAAAUAAACGAGCCAUAGGAAAGGCCACAAGACAGCUACUUCCUUCCACAAGCACAUGCUGGGGCUCCCUGCCUCUCCUUUUGCUCAGAGCCACACUGGCUCUUAAUGGCUUCAGGAGGUCACACCAGCCUCCGUCCUGCCACACGACCUUUGCACUUGCGGGGCCGUGACCAGCAGCACUCAACAAGGCUGGCCGCUUCUCAUGCAUGAUGUCUGAGCAUACGUCUCAGGAGGGGCCGUCACGUAGUACCCUGUAUAGUAACAGCCCUUGCUGCUCCCAUGGUGACUUUUUAUUUCCUUUUAGCAUUUUCUACUUUUGAAUAAGUUCACAUAGAUUGGUUUACUUUUUUUUUUCUUCUUAAUUUAGACACAGUGUCCUGCUCUGUCACCCAGGCUGGAGUGCAGUGGCACGCCACUCAUAUAGCUCACCACAACCUUGGACUUCUGAGCUUAAGCAGUCCUCCCGCCUCAGCCUUCUGAGUAGCUGGGAUUACAGGUCUGCACCACCACACCUGGCUAAUUUUAUUAUUUAUUUAGACAGAGUUUUGCUCUUGUUGCCCAGGCUGGAGCGCAAUGGCAUGAUCUUGGCUCACCACAACCUCCGCCUCCUGGGUUCAAGCGAUUCUCCUGCCUCAGCCUCCCGAGUAGCUGGGAUUACAGGCAUAUGCCACCACGCCCAGCUAAUUUUUUGUACUUUUAGUAGAGACAGAGUUUCUCCAUGUUGGUCAGGCUGGUCUUGAACUCCCGACCUCAGGUGAUCAGCCCGCCUUGGCCUCCCAAAAUGCUGGGAUUACAGGCAUAAACUACUGUACCCGGCCUACACAUAUAUAUACACAUAUAUAUGUGUAUAUAUAGAUAUGUAUGUGUAUAUAUAUGUAUGUGUGUGUGUGUGUGUGUGUGUGUGUGUGUAUAUAUAUAUAUACAUAUAUAUUUUUUUUUUUUUUUUUUUUUUUUUUUUGAGAUGGAGUCUUGCUCUGAUGCCCAGGCUGGAGUGCAGUGGUAUGAUCUCGGCUCACUGCAAUCUCCGCCUCCCAGGUUCAAGCGAUUUUCUUGUCUCAGCCUCCCGAGUAGCUGGGAUUACAGACACGCACCACCAUACCCGGCUAGUUUUUGUAUUUUUAGUAGUGACGGGGUUUUACCAUGUUGGCUAGGCUGGUCUUGAACUCCUCACUUCAGGUGAUCUGCCCACCUUGGCCUCCCAAAGUACUGGGAUUAUAGGCAUGAGCCAACACGCCAGGCCAGACCUGGCUAAUUUUUUAAAAAAAUACUCCCAAAGCAAUGGGCUGACGGGUGUGAGCUGUUUACUUCUUUUGUUUGUUUCUUUACUUCUUAUUGUCUGCCUCUCUUCAGAAGCUAAUUCCCAUUACAGCAGGUGCCGUAUUCUUUGCCGCCACCAUAUCACCAAUGUCUACAACUGCCUGACACACAGUAGGUAGUCAGAUGCUGAAAGAGUGAAUGAAUGAUGUUCCCUGAGGGCAGGCAUGGGUUCUCCAAGUGCCUAUUUCAAUACUCCUCCCAUGCCACCACCCCUAGGCCCAAGCUUGGCAUUCCUUUUUUCCUGAGUGAUCAGGAAGGCACAGCCACUGUCCUCGGCCUAGUGUGUGAUGUCUGUAACUAAGAAAAAGGCUCCGUCCUUGCCUCAGCUGUGAGGGGUGGGGCCUCAGAGAUAAGGAGGACCCUACCCUUGUGUCGCUGGCCCUUCUUUUCAGCAUGUCAGACGAAUUUGUAAUUUCAACCCCAGCCUUUCCCUGCCUUAGCCAUAGUUGCUAAGGCAACAAUUGGGCCUCAAUUUCCUGAUGACCAGAGUCCACCAAUGGCUGCCAUCAUCGUGUUAUCUCCUGGUCAGCUAUUCAUGGCACCAUCUCAGCAGUGCCCCAGUCUGGCCAAUGCAGAGGAAGUCACCAAGGAGGCUGGGAGGAGGAGCCUCAAGUUUUGCACAAACUAUACACGGCACCUGCUCUGUCACACCUCCUAUGUGCUGUUCCCUUCCUUUGGGUGCCUCUCUUGUCUCCUGGCCUGCUCUUCUGUCAUCAAGGCUGGGCUCGAAGCCUUCUCUGGGAAGCCCCUGCAGAUGCUUCAGGCACAACGAUCCCUUCUGUGCAAGCCCACAGAGCCUUUCCUGUCUCACUGCUCAGUGACUGACCUGCCCUAAGUCCUUUUCUCCUAGAUUUGCUCCCCAAAGACCAAGGAGGGUCUUGGUCAUUUCAUCUGGUGUCAAGCAAGGUGUGCCUCGGUCUCCUGUGCAUAGCAGGUGUUCCAACAGUGGGACCUCUGGCACAUCGACAGAAUCCUAACGACCCAGGGACUGAGACCCAUCAUCACGUGGGUGGUCAGGACAGCAGGACUGAGGCGGUGACUUAGCUACAGCAGAGGAAGCCAGACCAGACCCUACUGGGUGUCCCCCCAACACAGUGUCCCAUGUGAGGUUGCAGCGCCCAUGCCACCACCCCCGAUGUCCUUGAGGGCGAGUUGGGUUCCCCUUCUGGAGGCCAUUAGUGCUUGUCACAGCAGCGUGUUGGGAGAUGGAGUCUGCAGGCCGUGAUCUGUGCUCCCUCUGGGAGUGUGGUCUGGAAGGGACAGAGGAAAGAGGAGCAGGAGGAGCCAGAAAGCAAGCAGGCACGGUGGCUCACGCCUGGAAUCCCAGCACUUUGGGAGGACGAGGCAGGCGGAUCACCUGAGGUCAGGAGUUUGAGACCAGCCUGGCCAACAUGGUGAAACCCGUCUCUACUAAAAAUACAAAAAAUUAGCUGGGCGUUGUGGUGCACGCCUGUAAUCCCAGCUACUCGGUUGGCUGAGGCAGGAGAAUCACUUGAACCAUGGAGGCAGACAUUGCAGUGAGCCGAGAUCACGCCACUGCACUCCAGCCUGGGCGACAGAGUGAUACUCUGUCUCAAAAACAAUCAAACAAACAAAAGAAGCCAAGCAGAAGCAGGUUUCACCCCCUUCGGCUGAUCCUGCCUUGUCCAGCAGGCUGAAUGAGCUUUGGAGCCAUAAUCAAUCACUCUCCACUCUGUUGGGGACCAGAGGCAGCGUCAUCCUGCCCAGGCCACAAGGCAGCGGCAGAGAGCGUCACAAGUCAGCUGGUGCGAUUCUGCCCACAGCCCCAGGCUCAGUAGGUGCCAACCCCAAUGGCCACUACAGGGUUGCUGUCUUAGCCCUGGGAUCCCGCAUACGCCCACCAGGAGGUAGCUGAGUGUGUCUUGCUCUAGCUGAUGCACUUCCACUCCUGGUCCCCAGGGGGUGUCAGGGACAAGUCUCUGGUUUGCAGAAGCCAAGUUACUCUGGGGCAGGAGCUGGGAUGGUGUAAGGGGGUAGUGGGCGUCCGUGGGCUGUGCAGAUUUCGGCCCUGGGCUGGGUAAAGCAAGCUUAUGCUGCACCUGUCCCCUGGGGCUAUUCUGUCCAGUGCUCCUCUCCAUAAUCCUUUCCUGAUGGCGCCAGGCUGGGCUUCUGUGUCCCCUACAGGAUGGUCAAUGGGGGCUGGCUAUGGGUCCGCGAAACAUUCUGUGCUCUGAUGGGAAGGCUUAAAGGGAAAUUAAGGGACCUCUGAAGAGUAUGCAUCCCAUUAUUGGCACCAGUAAGUGGGUACUGGUAGCAACAGCAGGUGGUGCGGGUGGGAGUUGCCAAGAGGGAGAGGUAGGAAAUAGAAUAUAAGGAGAAAAAUGAUUGAAGAUCUCAAAUGUCCCUUUAUGAACCCCCCCGGGGCCUCCCACCCGCCUAGCACAGCUCCCCACCUUCACCACGCCCCCUGCCCCACCUGUACUCGCACCAGUAACAACAGCGGCCAUUGCCUGAGCACUUACUCUGUCCCAUCACCAGGUUCAGGUGCUUUACAUAAUUCUUGCCUUUCAUCCUCACAACUCCAUGAGGGAGGUAGUGCCAUGAUGCCCAUUUUACAGAUGAAGAAACAGAGGCUGAGAGGGGUCAGGUGAGUUGUCCACAUCACGUAGGCAGGGAGUGGAACAACCAGAAUUGGAAGUAAGCACACUGACUCUUAGCCUCCGUGCAGACUCCAGCAGACAGCAAAGGAGAGAGGCUGAGGAAGAGUUCGAAGCCACAUUGACAUGUUCCUUGCCCACAUGUUUACCAUCUCUCUUGUAGCCUGGGGGCUGACACAUCCUCCUGCCUUCCCACUUUUUUCUUUUGCAAGCCCUGGUUUGCAGAGACUGGAGAACAGCCAAGCCAGAGCUGGGAGCAGUCUCUGGCCUGAAGCCCCAGUUGGAGAAGUCAUCCAGAACAAAGACCAGUCUUCUGCGAGGUGGAUGAGAGUGGGUGUCCCGAGCAGAGGCUGUAGUUUAGGGAGGUUAGGCUGCUUGCCCAAGCCCCGCGUGGCCUGAGAUAUCAAGCAAAACAGCUGUCUCAGUCAUUAGACACCUAAUGUGUGCAUGAACCUGUCUCGGGUCCUCUUCCUUGGUCCAUGGUGUGGACUCCCCAAUAACUGAUUUGGAGAUGAGGGAAUAGGUCCCUUUCAGACACAGCCCAUGUGUAACCUUCUGGGGUGUAAUAGCUUUGACAAUGUACACCCCUUGGCCAGCAGUGACACCUCUAAUGCUCUAAUGUUCCCUCCUAUGGAAGUUUCUGUUCAGUUAGGUACAGGUCUCUCUCUUUUUUUUUUGAGACAGAGUCUUGCUCUGUCGCCAGGCUGGAGUGCAAUGGUGCGAUCUUGGCUCACUGCAGCCUCCACCUCCCUGGUUCAAGUGAUUCUCCUACCUCAGCCUCCUGAGUAGCUGGGACUACAGCCACGCACCACCACUCCCAGCUAAUUGUUUGUUUUUGUAGAGACGGGGUUUCACCAUGUUGGCCAGGAUGGUCUCAAUCUCUUGACUUUGUGAUCUGUCUGCCUUGGCCUCCCAAAGUGCUGGGAUUACAGGCGUGAGCCACCGCGCCCGGCUGGCACAGGUCUAUCUCUAGUUCUACCAUCUCUAUCUCCAACUCCAUCAUCUCCCUUUUCCCCACCAUCACCAUCACCUCUGUCUCCAUCUCCGUCACUCAUCUCCAUCAUCUCUCUUCUGUGCCACUGCUCUCCCCUCUCUCUUUGAUGCUGCUAUUGUCUCUCUCAUCUUCCUCUAAAUUUAUAUCUAUAUAAUAGCAAAAUUAGCAAUAAACAGAAAACUGGAAACAAUGUAAAUGUGGAGCAAUUGGAGUUAAGUUCUGAUGUAUUUAAUAUGGGGUUGACUUCAGUUCUGAUAUAUUUAUAUGAUGAAAUAAUCCUACAUUCAACAUAUUUGAGUACCUGUCUUUGCCAGGCACCACGACUCCAAAGGCAAACAAAUACUAAGUAAUUAUUAAAAUGAUGCAGAAAGUUUAGUUCAAGAUGGUGAAUUAAACUUACACAUUUACCUCCUUUUCUCCCUUGCCAAAUCCCACUGAAAUGACAUUGGAGAUGUAUAGAAAUGAACACAUCCAUAACAGAGCAUAGAAUAGGUAGAGAGGUUGGGGAGGGGGAAGACUUAUAACAGCUACUGCAGUUAAGCUGCCUAGUUCUUUAUUCCUAAAUAUGGACAACCGAAGCUCACCAGAUAUUUGAGAUAAACCAGCAGCAUAAAAGAGAUGGCCCAACAUAAACAAGCAGAUCACCUGAUCCCAGAGGAAGUCAGAGAACAGAAGACAACUUUGAAAAAGCGUUGGACUGCCACGCAAGCACUGGUAAUGCGGAUGCCGAGGUGCGGCCAUUGCCACGGGAGAUGCUCCUGCGCGGAGACAGGACCCUGCUUCUGGAAGGCCCGAGGGGAAACUGGAUUUGCUACAGCUGAGAGUUGUUCAAAGUCCUGUGCACGGUUUCACACGUUUCACUGAAAUCGGAGCAGCUGCUGCAGAUCUUCUGGAACUGAUGUGAUGCGGCGCCUUGCUCUGCCUGGUCCACGCUGUACUUCAAGUGUCGCAAAAACAGGCCCCUGCUCUCUGCCCUCAUGAUGUGACUUAAUGGGAGAUGCCAAGGUGGGCAGGCGCUGGGGCUGCAGGUCUGGGAAGUGGACAAAGCAGCCGUGAGAUGGGAAGAAGUGUCCCCUCUACUUAGUGUUGCUAGACAGCCUGUGUGUUGGAAGUGAGAUCUUUCAAGAUAGAUAGAACUGAAAUCUUUUUUUUUUUUUUUUUUUGCAGGGGUGGGGUUGGGGUCUCGUUCUGUCUCCCAGGCUGGAGUACAGUGGUGCAGCCUCGAAUUCCUGGGCUCAAGAGAUCCUCCUGCCUCAGCCUCCCAAAGCACUGGGAUUAAAGGUGUGAGCCACCGUGCCUGGCAGAACAAAAUCCCAACAGAGAUGUUAUCUCUGGAAAGGGGUGGCUGGAAAUAGUUUUAUCACUGUUUAUCCAAAUAAACGAGUUAAUAUUUGUAAAGUGCUUAGGACAGUGCCUAGCAGCUGGUGAACAGCUAUAAAAAUGAUAUUAAAUCUGCUUUUUAAUUUCCCUACAAUGAAUACAUAUUAGCUAAUUAAUAACAAAAUUAUAAAAGACUUCUGGCUCCAUUAAAGUCAACAGAACAAAAGGU